UACAGAGGGUGCGAGCGUUAAUCGGAAUGACUGGGCGUAAAGGGCGCGUAGGUGGUUUUUUAAGCUAGAUGUGAAAUCCCUUGGCUUAACCAAGGAACUGCAUUUAGAACUAGAUAACUAGAGAGAAGUAGAGGUAAGUGGAAUUUCCAGAGUAGCGGUGAAAUGCGUAGAUACUGGAAGGAACACCAGUGGCGAAGGCGACUUACUGGACUUUUUCUGACACUGAGGCGCGACAGCGUGGGGAUCAAACAGG
rnacentral:rRNA from 1 species